GACGAACGCUGGCGGCGUGCUUAACACAUGCAAGUCGAACGGACAAGCGCCUUCCUUUUUGCUCUGUGUUGAGGAGUGGCGAACGGGUUAGUAACACGUGAGUAACCUUCUCCCUUCGUCUGGACAACCGCAUGAAAGAGUUGCUAAUAGAGAAUAUUCUGAGUCUGUCGGAUGAUGGGUCUGAGACGGACUUUGUGUCGGUUGUGGAUGGACUCGCGCUGUAUUAGCUAGUUGGUAGGGUAAUGGCGGACCAAGGCGGCGAUGAAGAGCCGACCUGAGAGGAGGGUCGGCGGCCACACUGGGGCGGAGACGUGGAGCAGACUCCGAGAGGAGGCAGCAGUGGAGAAUACUGCACAGUGGGAGCAAGCAUGAUGCAGCGACGCGGCGUGGGGGAUGGAGGUCUGAGGGUUGUGAACCUCUAUCGGGAGUGAAGCUAGCUUGCAUCGUUUGUGCGUGGGUUGACGGUAGCUGGAUAAGAAGCGCCGGCUAACUACGUG
rnacentral:rRNA from 1 species